rnacentral:rRNA from 1 species
UGCAGUCGAGCGGAUGACAGGAGCUUGCUCCUGAAUUCAGCGGCGGACGGGUGAGUAAUGCCUAGGAAUCUGCCUGGUAGUGGGGGACAACGUUUCGAAAGGAACGCUAAUACCGCAUACGUCCUACGGGAGAAAGCAGGGGACCUUCGGGCCUUGCGCUAUCAGAUGAGCCUAGGUCGGAUUAGCUAGUUGGUGAGGUAAUGGCUCACCAAGGCGACGAUCCGUAACUGGUCUGAGAGGAUGAUCAGUCACACUGGAACUGAGACACGGUCCAGACUCCUACGGGAGGCAGCAGUGGGGAAUAUUGGACAAUGGGCGAAAGCCUGAUCCAGCCAUGCCGCGUGUGUGAAGAAGGUCUUCGGAUUGUAAAGCACUUUAAGUUGGGAGGAAGGGCAUUAACCUAAUACGUUAGUGUUUUGACGUUACCGACAGAAUAAGCACCGGCUAACUCUGUGCCAGCAGCCGCGGUAAUACAGAGGGUGCAAGCGUUAAUCGGAAUUACUGGGCGUAAAGCGCGCGUAGGUGGUUCGUUAAGUUGGAUGUGAAAGCCCCGGGCUCAACCUGGGAACUGCAUUCAAAACUGACGAGCUAGAGUAUGGUAGAGGGUGGUGGAAUUUCCUGUGUAGCGGUGAAAUGCGUAGAUAUAGGAAGGAACACCAGUGGCGAAGGCGACCACCUGGACUGAUACUGACACUGAGGUGCGAAAGCGUGGGGAGCAANCAGGAUUAGAUACCCUGGUAGUCCACGCCGUAANCGAUGUCAACUAGCCGUUGGGAGCCUUGAGCUCUUAGUGGCGCAGCUAACGCAUUAAGUUGACCGCCUGGGGAGUACGGCCGCAAGGUUAAAACUCAANUGAAUUGACGGGGGGCCCGCACAAGCGGUGGAGCAUGUGGUUUAAUUCGAAGCAACGCGAAGAACCUUACCAGGCCUUGACAUCCAAUGAACUUUUCCAAAGAUGGAUUGGUGNCCUUCGGGA